GAUGCAGCGACGCCGCGUGAGUGAAGAAGUAAUUCGUUAUGUAAAGCUCUAUCAGCAGGGAAGAAAGUGACGGUACCUGAAAAAGAAGCUCCGGCUAAAUACGUGCCAGCAGCCGCGGUAAUACGUAUGGAGCAAGCGUUAUCCGGAUUUACUGGGUGUAAAGGGAGAGUAGGUGGCAGAGCAAGUCCGAAGUGAAAACCCAAAGCUCAACUAUGGGAAUGCUUUAGAAACUGCUCAGCUAGAGUGCAGGAGAGGCAAGUGGAAUUCUUAGUGUAGCGGUGAAAUGCGUAGAUAUUAGGAGGAACACCAGUGGCGAAGGCGGCUUGCUGGACUGUAACUGACACUGAGGCUCGAAAGCGUGGGGAGCAAACAGGAUUAGAUACCCUGGUAGUCCACGCUGU
rnacentral:rRNA from 1 species